rnacentral:rRNA from 1 species
AGUGAACGCUGGCGGUAGGCCUAACACAUGCAAGUCGAACGGCAGCACAGUAAGAGCUUGCUCUUACGGGUGGCGAGUGGCGGACGGGUGAGGAAUACAUCGGAAUCUACUUUUUCGUGGGGGAUAACGUAGGGAAACUUACGCUAAUACCGCAUACGACCUACGGGUGAAAGCAGGGGAUCUUCGGACCUUGCGCGAUUGAAUGAGCCGACGUCGGAUUAGCUAGUUGGCGGGGUAAAGGCCCACCAAGGCGACGAUCCGUAGCUGGUCUGAGAGGAUGAUCAGCCACACGGGAACUGAGACACGGUCCAGACUCCGACGGGAGGCAGCAGUGGGGAAUAUUGGACAAUGGGCGCAAGCCUGAUCCAGCCAUACGGCGUGGGUGAAGAAGGCCUUCGGGUUGUAAAGCCCUUUUGUUGGGAAAGAAAAGCAGCAGGUUAAUACCCCGCUGUUCUGACGGUACCCAAAGAAUAAGCACCGGCUAACUUCGU